rnacentral:rRNA from 1 species
UACGUAGGGUGCGAGCGUUGUCCGGAAUUAUUGGGCGUAAAGGGCUCGUAGGCGGUUUGUCGCGUCGGGAGUGAAAAUCCAGGGCUUAACUCUGGACUGGCUUCCGAUACGGGCAGACUAGAGGUAUGCAGGGGAGAACGGAAUUCCUGGUGUAGCGGUGAAAUGCGCAGAUAUCAGGAGGAACACCGGUGGCGAAGGCGGUUCUCCGGGCAUUACCUGACGCUGAGGAGCGAAAGUGUGGGGAGCGAACAGG